GUAUGGGACACUAAUACAAGGAUGUGGGUGCUUAUUUACAAAAUAAGUCCACUAAAUUAACUCAAUGAAAGAGAACAUCUUAUGGAAGCCUUACUUGCAUAGCAAAGAUGGUUUUCUAAAUGGGAGUUGUGUAAGUGAUCCUUAAACCUAAGACUAUCAUGAAAUCUUGUGCACAUGAACCUAUAUUUUUGUUCAUACCCAGGCAUGGCAUUAAGACAUGUAUGGGGUG
rnacentral:lncRNA from 1 species